AGAGUUUGAUCCUGGCUCAGAGUGAACGCUGGCGGCGUGCUUAACACAUGCAAGUCGCACGAGAACGCCUCUGCUUGCAGAGGCUAGUAAAGUGGCGCACGGGUGAGUAACACGUGGGUAAUCUUCCUUCGAAUUGGGGAUAACAUUGCGAAAGCGACGCUAAUACCGGAUGAUAUCGAAGGAACCUUGGUUCUUUUGAUCAAAGGUGGCCUCUUCUUGAAAGCUACUGUUUGGAGAUGAGCCCGCGUCCCAUUAGCUUGUUGGCGGGGUAACGGCCCACCAAGGCGACGAUGGGUAGCUGGUCUGAGAGGAUGAUCAGCCACACUGGAACUGACACACGGUCCAGACUCCUACGGGAGGCAGCAGUGAGGAAUUUUGCGCAAUGGGGGAAACCCUGACGCAGCAACGCCGCGUGAGUGAUGAAGGCUUUCGGGUCGUAAAGCUCUGUCAAGUGGGAAGAAUCCACGUGGUGCUAAUAUCGCCAUGUGCUGACGGUACCACUGAAGGAAGCACCGGCUAACUCCGUGCCAGCAGCCGCGGUAAUACGGGGGGUGCAAGCGUUAUUCGGAUCUACUGGGCGUAAAGCGCGCGUAGGCGGCCGUUUAAGUCAGAUGUGAAAGCCCGGGGCUCAACCCUGGAAGUGCAUUUGAUACUAUUCGGCUUGAGUAUGGGAGAGGGAAGUGGAAUUCCUGGUGUAGAGGUGAAAUUCGUAGAUAUCAGGAGGAACACCGGUGGCGAAGGCGACUUCCUGGACCAAUACUGA
rnacentral:rRNA from 1 species